AGAGUUUGAUUCUGGCUCAGGAUGAACGCUGGCGGCGUGCUUAACACAUGCAAGUCGAACGAGAACCAUUGGAUCGAGGAUUCGUCCAAGUGAAGGUGGGGAAAGUGGCGGACGGGUGAGUAACGCGUGAGCAAUCUGCCUUGGAGUGGGGAAUAACGGCUGGAAACAGCCGCUAAUACCGCAUGAUACAGCUGGGAGGCAUCUCCCUGGCUGUCAAAGAUUUAUCGCUCUGAGAUGAGCUCGCGUCUGAUUAGCUGGUUGGCGGGGUAACGGCCCACCAAGGCGACGAUCAGUAGCCGGACUGAGAGGUUGGCCGGCCACAUUGGGACUGAGACACGGCCCAGACUCCUACGGGAGGCAGCAGUGGGGAAUAUUGGGCAAUGGGCGCAAGCCUGACCCAGCAACGCCGCGUGAAGGAAGAAGGCUUUCGGGUUGUAAACUUCUUUUCUUGGGGACGAAGAAAGUGACGGUACCCAAGGAAUAAGCCACGGCUAACUACGUGCCAGCAGCCGCGGUAAUACGUAAGUGGCACGCGUUA
rnacentral:rRNA from 1 species